rnacentral:sRNA from 1 species
AUAAAGACUCGAGAAAUAACAUAAAGACUCAAAAUCCUAUACCUAAAACAUAGAUAAAAUCAGUGAAAAUCAUGUCAUAUCAAUUUCCUCCAGUUAUGUUUCUAAAAGACAAAAUGUGAGGACUUUA